rnacentral:ncRNA from 1 species
UAAUAUGGGUAUUUAACCACUCGUAUAUCCCCUGAAUAUGGCAGGGAGUCUCUACCGGAAACCGUAAAUUUCCGACUAUGGGUGAAACUUUACUAUGC